AACGAACGCUGGCGGCAGGCCUAACACAUGCAAGUCGAGCGCUGUAGCAAUACAGAGCGGCGCACGGGUGAGUAACACGUGGGAACGUGCCCUUUGGUUCGGAAUAACUCAGGGAAACUUGAGCUAAUACCGGAUGAGCCCUAACGGGGAAAGAUUUAUCGCCGAAGGAGCGGCCCGCGUCGGAUUAGCUAGUUGGUGGGGUAAUAGCCUACCAAGGCAACGAUCCGUAGCUGGUUUGAGAGAACGACCAGCCACACUGGGACUGAGACACGGCCCAGACUCCUACGGGAGGCAGCAGUGGGGAAUCUUGGACAAUGGGGGAAACCCUGAUCCAGCCAUGCCGCGUGAGUGAGGAAGGCCCUAGGGUUGUAAAACUCUUUCGGCGGGGACGAUAAUGACGGUACCCGCAGAAGAAGCUCCGGCUAACUUCGUGCCAGCCGCCGCAGUAAAAC
rnacentral:rRNA from 1 species